GCGGGGGUGGCAGAGCUAGGUCAAACAGCAAACGGACCUGAUGCGCGGGACUCAAGAUGGGGUAUCCCGUCCCGAAGGGGUUCGUGGGUUCAAAUCCCACCCCCCGCA
rnacentral:tRNA from 1 species